rnacentral:rRNA from 1 species
CCCUUAGAUGUUCGGGGCCGCACGCGCGCUACACUGAAGGAAUCAGCGCGUCUUUCUCCUUGUCCGAAAGGACUGGGUAACCCGCUGAACCUCCUUCGUGCUAGGGAUUGGGGCUUGUAAUUCUUCCCCAUGAACGAGGAAUUCCCAGUAAGCGCGAGUCAUAAGCUCGCGUUGAUUACGUCCCUACCCUUUGUACACACCGCCCGUCGCUACUACCGAUUGGAUGGUUUAGUGAGAUCCUCGGAUUGGUCCCGGCGCGGCCUCUGGUCGUGCCGGAGUGCCGAAAAGAAUGUCGAACUUGAUCAUCUAGAGGAAGUAAAAGUCGUAACA